GAUGAAGAACGUAGUGAAAUGCGAUAAGUAGUGUGAAUUGCAGAAUUCAGUGAAUCAUCGAAUCUUUGAACGCACAUUGCGCCCCUUGGUAUCCCGAGGGGCAUGCCUGUUCGAGCGUCAUUUCACCACUCAAGCCUGGCUUGGUGUUGGGCGACGUCCCCUUUGGGGACGCGCCUCGAAACGCUCGGCGGCGUGGCACCGGCUUUAAGCGUAGCAGAAUCUUUCGCUUUGGAAGUCGGGGCCCCGUCUGCCGGAAGACCUACUCGCAAGGUUGACCUCGGAUCAGGCAGGGAUACCCGAUGAACUUAAGCAUAUCAAUAAGCGGAGGA
rnacentral:misc_RNA from 1 species